GCCGGCAGCGGGUGGUGUCGAUGUCUUCGAUGCGCAGCAGCAACCGCCCGCCACUUUGCCGGGCGAGAUCGAAGUUCAGCAGCGCCGAGCGCGCAUGUCCAAGAUGAAGAAAUCCAUUCNNNNNCGAAACGGAAAACGGGUGGCGGCAUGGUUCGAUCCUGUUCGACGCAUCGUGCCCCGGCAAUUGCACUCGCGUCCGAUUCCCUUCAUGCUCACAAAACCAAUGACAGUCCAUCUCAACA
rnacentral:misc_RNA from 1 species